AUUGAACGCUGGCGGCAUGCCUUACACAUGCAAGUCGAACGAUAACGCGGGGCAACCUGGCGACGAGUGGCGAACGGGUGAGUAAAGCAUCGGAACGUGCCCAGUAGUGGGGGAUAGCCCGGCGAAAGCCGGAUUAAUACCGCAUACGACCUAUGGGUGAAAGGGGGGGAUCGCAAGACCUCUCGCGAUUGGAGCGGCCGAUAUCAGAUUAGGUAGUUGGUGGGGUAAAGGCUCACCAAGCCAACGAUCUGUAGCUGGUCUGAGAGGACGACCAGCCACACUGGGACUGAGGCACGGCCCAGACUCCUACGGGAGGCAGCAGUGGGGAAUUUUGGACAAUGGGCGCAAGCCUGAUCCAGCAAUGCCGCGUGCAGGAAGAAGGCCUUCGGGUUGUAAACUGCUUUUGUACGGAACGAAACGGUCUGGGUUAAUACCUCGGGCUAAUGACGGUACCGUAAGAAUAAGCACCGGCUAACUACGUGCCAGCCGCCGCGGUAA
rnacentral:rRNA from 1 species